rnacentral:rRNA from 1 species
GCUAAUCUGCGAUAAGCGCCGGUAAGGUGAUAUGAACCGUUAUAACCGGCGAUACCCGAAUGGGGAAACCCAGUGUGAUUCGUCACACUAUCAUUAACUGAAUCCAUAGGUUAAUGAGGCGAACCGGGGGAACUGAAACAUCUAAGUACCCCGAGGAAAAGAAAUCAACCGAGAUUCCCCCAGUAGCGGCGAGCGAACGGGGAGGAGCCCAGAGCCUGAAUCAGCAUGUGUGUUAGUGGAAGCGUCUGGAAAGGCGCGCGAUACAGGGUGACAGCCCCGUACACAAAAGCGCAUGUGCUGUGAGCUCGAUGAGUAGGGCGGGACACGUGGUAUCCUGUCUGAAUAUGGGGGGACCAUCCUCCAAGGCUAAAUACUCCUGACUGACCGAUAGUGAACCAGUACCGUGAGGGAAAGGCGAAAAGAACCCCGGCGAGGGGAGUGAAAAAGAACCUGAAACCGUGUACGUACAAGCAGUGGGAGCACCCUUUGGGUGUGACUGCGUACCUUUUGUAUAAUGGGUCAGCGACUUAUAUUCUGUAGCAAGGUUAACCGAAUAGGGGAGCCGGAGGGAAACCGAGUCUUAAUUGGGCGUUAAGUUGCAGGGUAUAGACCCGAAACCCGGUGAUCUAGCCAUGGGCAGGUUGAAGGGUGGGUAACACUAACUGGAGGACCGAACCGACUAAUGUUGAAAAAUUAGCGGAUGACCUGUGGCUGGGGGUGAAAGGCCAAUCAAACCGGGAGAUAGCUGGUUCUCCCCGAAAGCUAUUUAGGUAGCGCCUCGUGAAUUCAUCUCCGGGGGUAGAGCACUGUUUCGGCUAGGGGGCCAUCCCGGCUUACCAACCCGAUGCAAACUGCGAAUACCGGAGAAUGUUAUCACGGGAGACACACGGCGGGUGCUAACGUCCGUCGUGAAGAGGGAAACAACCCAGACCGCCAGCUAAGGUCCCAAAGUCAUGGUUAAGUGGGAAACGAUGUGGGAAGGCCCAGACAGCCAGGAUGUUGGCUUAGAAGCAGCCAUCAUUUAAAGAAAGCGUAAUAGCUCACUGGUCGAGUCGGCCUGCGCGGAAGAUGUAACGGGGCUAAACCAUGCACCGAAGCUGCGGCAGCGACACUGUGUGUUGUUGGGUAGGGGAGCGUUCUGUAAGCCUGUGAAGGUGUGUCGUGAGGC